rnacentral:rRNA from 1 species
GGACCUGCCCAGACGUGGGGGAUAACGUAGGGAAACUUACGCUAAUACCGCAUACGUCCUACGGGAGAAAGCGGGGGAUCAGCAAUGACCUCGCGCGGUUGGAUGGACCGAUGUUCGAUUAGCUAGUUGGUGGGGUAAUGGCCUACCAAGGCGACGAUCGAUAGCUGGUCUGAGAGGAUGAUCAGCCACACUGGGACUGAGACACGGCCCAGACUCCUACGGGAGGCAGCAGUGGGGAAUAUUGGACAAUGGGCGCAAGCCUGAUCCAGCAAUGCCGCGUGUGUGAAGAAGGCCUUCGGGUUGUAAAGCACUUUUAUCAGGAGCGAAAUACCAUCGGCUAAUACCCGGUGGGGCUGACGGUACCUGAGGAAUAAGCACCGGCUAACUUCGUGCCAGCAGCCGCGGUAAUACGAAGGGUGCAAGCGUUAAUCGGAAUUACUGGGCGUAAAGCGUGCGUAGGCGGUGAGUUAAGUCUGCUGUGAAAUCCCCGGGCUCAACCUGGGAAUGGCAGUGGAUACUGGCUCGCUAGAGUGUGAUAGAGGAUGGUGGAAUUCCCGGUGUAGCGGUGAAAUGCGUAGAGAUCGGGAGGAACAUCAGUGGCGAAGGCGGCCAUCUGGAUCAACACUGACGCUGAG